rfam:Rattus norvegicus chromosome 6, whole genome shotgun sequence.
GGGGAUUUGGCUCAGUGGUACAGCGCUUGCCUAGGAAGCGCAAGGUCCUGGGUUCGGUUCCCAGCCCCG